CUUGAAGGUUCACGUUUAGUUAUCUGAGUAUUUAACCUCUUUUGGCAGCUCGGCUGAAUAGAGGUGGUGAUUUGAAAGCCAAUCUUUGUUCUGCUAUACGAUGGGGUGUUAGGAAGCGUAGCCAGUCAGCGCAGAGGAAUUAUUUUUGUCCAUUUAUCUCACCGUGACGGCAAGGAAUGUAAUUCAAUCAGCGGAGCAGUGAUGACCGGAAGGAGAGAAAAGGAUGGCUGGCGAGGUGUCCGUGGAAAGACAUGUUCUGCAGACCAUUGAGAGGCUAUCUUGUAUUCAGAAGCAACUGUCAAAUCAGAGCAGUUUUCAGACAGCAGCCAGGGAGUUGCUAGAGUGGUGUACAGAUAUAAGGGCAUUCCAGCGACAGUUUGAGGCUGCGCUUAUCAACUGCCUCACUAUUGUGAGCAAAGUAGCCCAGCAGGGAGGUUACGAUCUAGACUUGGGGUACAGGCUUCUUGCUGUAUGUGCAGCUCACAGGGAUAAACUCACCCAGAAAGCUUCAGGUAAGUGACUGGCCAGAAAGACUAACAAUAAUGUUUGAUGUAUGAUAUUUGUGAGCAUUAGUUUUCAUGAAUUAUUCAGGCGAUGUAAUUUCAGUCAUUGCAUGUAAAUCAGGUUUUUCUAUCAUUUUAUAAAGUGAAGGUGAAAAAUACAUCUUCAAUUUGGCAACAUGCUUCUGAUCUAUUUUUCCCAGCUUCAUUGGAGGAUGGUAAUUGAGAUAGUUAGAAGAAUUUUUCUUCUCUCUAUUUAUCCUCUUUCGAGAGACUUUAUUUGUCAUAUCAUAAAAUAACAGCUAUUUACAACAGUGUUUAUAUACAGAAUUCAUGUAAUUGUAACAUAUCAUAUAUAGUACAAAGCAUGAAAGUAAUGUGACAUAAUCACUAAGUUGGAAGAAUAGAAAAGCUAAAAACAAUCAA